CAUGGCGUCGUAGCGGCUGGUUAUAUCACAGCAGCCGAACGUGGCAGAUCUUUCUUUUUGUAGGUGAAAUUCAAGGGAAGAACUGCAAAUGCUCGGCGCCAUCUUGUACGAACGAUGUGGUCUGGCGAACAGCUUGCCAAGGUGACCAUGCAGUACCUUUGAAUGUAUUUAAGGGUAAGUUGCAAGUCGGUAGAUUUGCUCCGCAGUUUACCGGAUACCAGCACGCUGCUUCGCGAGAACUACUCUACGUUGUUCUGGGGGACUUAGACGAACAUCUGAAUCCGAUUUUGAAGAAGUCUUGCAUCGAUGGACACUGACAAAAUAUAGGAAGCUGCACAUGAAUGUUGGGUAUUUUAUCAUAAGUAGAAUACAGAAAAAUUCUGCAGUAGUAGGUCUCUUUAGUUGGGUAUUGAAAUUGGCUUUAGUGUGUCUGGGGUCAGAUGAGGUCUCAGUUGCAUUUGAUCCUACUCGUUAUCUAUCACUGCCAAUGCCAGUCGAAAAGGAAGUACCAGUUGACCUGUAUCUGGCUUACAUGGAACUUUUAGCAGAAAAUUUUCUGCUUUCAAGGGAUUCGAAGAGUUUGCAAAAUAUUAUGUCUCUAGGAUUCCACAGUUUUAUGUAAUUCAAUUGAAAAGAAAUUUAUACUGAUUCUUGUUUUAUUUUUCUAAAGGCAGAUUCGUAAUUAUAAAGAAUUAGGAAAGAAAAUUGACGAAGGCUCAGUGCCAAAAAAAUUAUGGUAGUUGGAAUGAUGACCGAAGCUCCUCGGAUUCGUUUAUUUCACGCGUUAUGCGGGUCAUGCAGAUGCUGUAAUCAGCAGAGAAGGUUGGAAGUGCGCUGCCCGGGAAGCAAAUUUGGGGUAAAAGAAAAAAACCUAUUCCAACUAUUAAGCCAUUUCCAAAUUCAACCAACAAAAAGGUACACAGGGAGAUUUGCUUAACGAUUACGUUUCUUUAAUUGAUUUUAAAAUUAGGAAAAGG